rnacentral:rRNA from 1 species
AACGAACGCUGGCGGCAUGCCUAACACAUGCAAGUCGAACGAGACCUUCGGGUCUAGUGGCGCACGGGUGCGUAACGCGUGGGAAUCUGCCCUUGGGUCUGGAAUAACAGUUAGAAAUGACUGCUAAUACCGGAUGAUGACUUCGGUCCAAAGAUUUAUCGCCCAGGGAUGAGCCCGCGUAGGAUUAGCUAGUUGGUGAGGUAAAAGCUCACCAAGGCGACGAUCCUUAGCCGGUCUGAGAGGAUGAUCAGCCACACUGGGACUGAGACACGGCCCAGACUCCUACGGGAGGCAGCAGUGGGGAAUAUUGGACAAUGGGCGAAAGCCUGAUCCAGCAAUGCCGCGUGAGUGAUGAAGGCCUUAGGGUUGUAAAGCUCUUUUACCCGGGAUGAUAAUGACAGUACCGGGAGAAUAAGCCCCGGCUAACUCCGUGCCAGCCGCCGCCGUAAAAC